rfam:Octopus bimaculoides Scaffold1763_contig_50, whole genome shotgun sequence.
CACAAUGGCCAUAACACAUUGAAAGCACCAGUUCUCAUACAAUCACUGAAGUUAAGCAACGUUGAGCCUAGUGAGUACUUAGAUAGGUGACCACUUGGGAAACCUAGGUGCUGUAAGCA